rnacentral:rRNA from 1 species
UGGGGAAUAUUGCGCAAUGGGGGAAACCCUGACGCAGCCACGCCGCGUGGGUGAUGAAGGCCUUCGGGUCGUAAAGCCCUGUCGGGAGGGACGAAUUCAUGACGGUACCUCCAAAGAAAGCACCGGCUAACUCCGUGCCAGCAGCCGCGGUAAUACGGAGGGUGCGAGCGUUGCUCGGAAUUACUGGGCGUAAAGCGUACGCAGGCUGCUGUACAAGUCGGGUGUGAAAGCCCGGGGCUCAACCCCGGAAAUGCGCCCGAGACUGUACGGCUUGAAUGCGGGAGAGGAUAGCGGAAUUCCUGGUGUAGAGGUGAAAUUCGUAGAUAUCAGGAGGAACACCUGUGGCGAAAGCGGCUAUCUGGCCCGACAUUGACGCUCAUGUACGAAAGCGCGGGGAGCA